GUUAUCACUCGCUAAAACUUUCAAACAAUGUGGACAGGAUGAUUUGAUCAUGGAAAACAAUGCAUUCAAAAGGAAAGUGGGGAGAAAGGGAAGGAUUUCUGCCUUUGGCCUGUGGGUCAGGACCCAGAGCACCAACCACAGACUAUUAAACACCCUGUUUACCUUCCUCUGCCCAAGAAGAGCACAUCUCUGGAAUGGACCAGGCAAAGCAGAAUCAGCAAGCCGGGAGGGAGCAACACGGGCUGGCGUAGGCGACACCGUCAGCAGAGUAGAAGGGAAAUGUCAAGAUCACUAAGUGUUGAAGCAUUUUGACCUGUGUUAUGUUGAAGAAAGUCUCCACAUGUUUCUCAUAAAAAUAUACAUCAGAGAUGGCUUCAGACCGAACGUCAAACUUAGUUAAAGCUGACAAGGAUCCUGAUAUUUAAGCUACAAGGAUAAAAAAGGAAAAGAGGAGGAGACAGGGAAAGCAACAUAGAAGAGGAGGAACUUUUGGUUGAUAGAUGCAUCUGGUGGCAAGUAGUUGCUGGGUCAUUGCUCUCUUGUCUACUUCUCUACUGUGACAGUGAAUUCCGUGGGAGUUAGCUCUAUGCAUUGGUAAAGGCAUCCCAAGAAAUACACCAUUACUGUCGACUCCUUAUUGCUGGUGUUUGUCCAAAGAUCAAUAUACCCUUCAUUGUGAAAUGUUCUUUUCAAUUCUUAUAAGCCAAUCUUUC